GGCUACAGCCAUGCCGCCCUGAACAUGCCUGAUUUCGUCUGAUCUCGGAAAUUAAGCAGGGUCAGGCCUGGUUAGUACUUGGAUGGGAGACCACCUAGGAAUACUAGGUGCUGUAGGCU
rnacentral:rRNA from 1 species